GUAACAUCCCGAAAAAGAAAAAAAGAGAAAAAAAUCAAAUUAAUCAAAUUAAAUCUUUUCCUAGUUGACUUGGUCACCAAUUAUUCCUUAGUUCAAACUUUAAAUAAAGAUUUUGCAAAGAUUUUCCUCCUCCGUAAUCUGCAAAUAAAUUAAAUUAAUAAAUAUCACAAAAAAAGGGAAAACAAAUCUCUCCCUCCUUCCUCACGUAUUAACCGUUUCCCCCUCUCCAUGAAUCUCUCCCAUAUCUAUCAACCACCUCCUCUCUAUAAUACUCCCUCACAAUCGGUUUUUCUCCUAUUUCGUUUCUCGGCAACAAGGCUGAUCCUUCUCAAUUUCUACUCAAGAAACCGAGAACCCAACUUGAAAGAGAGAGAGUUGGAGAUUUCUGAUCGUCUGAAUUGAGAGAUGAAUCGAGGGAGAGACGGAAGACAAAAACAGCGGCGGACAGCAGCCGUGUGCGACCGUUCAGCGGCGACGGAGAGACCGGGAUGGACGGCGGCAGGUUGCAGCGCUGACUGGACUCGGAGUAGCAGCAGCUGUUCGGUAGUUCCGGGCGGUUUCGGAACAAGGAGAUGGCAGCAACGGUGUUUCUGGCGCCGGUGAUGGCAUUGGCGACAGUCAACGAAAGAGAGAGAAGAGGAGACGGCGGCUGAUGCAACCACACGAGCAGCAGCGCGUCGUAAUAACGGACAGCAGCGCCGCCUUGGAGAAGAGACCAGCAUCGGCUGACCCGGCAGCGACGACGCCGACGGCACUUUGACAGCAGCGGCGCGGAGGAGACGGCAGCGGCGGCGAAUUGUCAGAGAGAGAGCGAACAGCGACAAACGCCCCCGUGUGGAAGAGCUGCUCGACAGAGAGCUGUAGAAGAGUUAGAGAGAGAGAUGACAGCGUGUGCUUGAUUUGAGAAGAUGAUUUCAAUUCCAUUAUGGAAUUUCACGUAAGGCCCACUGUUUUUGAUAAAGGAGAUGGCUUGGAGUCACGCUUUUCGAGAACGGGAUGGAACACAAGUUAAGGCUUUAAACGAACGAGAUUGAACGGUGAUGAGUGCGGUGGGUGUUGAGCAUGAAAGUGAAG